UCUCUGGUAGCUCAGUUGGUAAAGAAUCUGCCUGCAAUGCAGGAGACCCAGGUUCAAUUCCUGGGUUGGGAA
rnacentral:tRNA from 1 species